rnacentral:rRNA from 1 species
UACGUAGGGUGCGAGCGUUAAUCGGAAUUACUGGGCGUAAAGCGUGCGCAGGCGGUUUUGUAAGCCAGGUGUGAAAUCCCCGGGCUCAACCUGGGAAUGGCAUUUGGGACUGCAAGGCUGGAGUGCGGCAGAGGAGACUGGAAUUCCUGGUGUAGCAGUGAAAUGCGUAGAUAUCAGGAGGAACACCGAUGGCGAAGGCAGGUCUCUGGGCUGACACUGACGCUCAUGCACGAAAGCGUGGGGAGCAAACAGGAUUACGA